rnacentral:rRNA from 1 species
GAUUAACGCUGGCGGCGUGCAUAACACAUGCAAGUCGAACGAUGAAACUUAACUGAUUUCUUCGGAAUGAUUUUAAGUGGAUUAGUGGCGGACGGGUGAGUAACGCGUGAGUAACCUGCCUUGGAGAAGGGGAUAGCCUUUGGAAACGAAGAAUAAUACCCUAUGAUAUGAUAAUAUCUCAUGAUAUUAUCAUCAAAGAUUUAUCGCUCUAAGAUGGACUUGCGUCUGAUUAGUUAGUUGGUGAGGUAACAGCUCACCAAGGCAGCGAUCAGUAGCCGGCUUGAGAGAGUGUACGGCCACAUUGGGACUGAGACACGGCCCAGACUCCUACGGGAGGCAGCAGUGGGGAAUUUUGCACAAUGGGGGAAACCCUGAUGCAGCGAGGCCGCGUGAUUUAGAAGGCCUUCGGGUUGUAAAAAUCUUUUGUAUGGGAAGAAAAUGACAGUACCAUACGAAUAAGGACCGGCUAAUUACGUG